ACACACCAAUCUGCUGUCCAGUUGCGAGUGGAGGGACCUUUUUUCACAGUUUUCACCACCGGCUCAAAUCUCUUGACUCCAUUCUCGUGCGUGGUCCCCACAGAACCUGAUCUGCUCAGCUUCUCCGUUCUCCUCUCUCAUCCUCUCUCUCUCUCUCUCUCUCUCUCUCUCUCUCUCUCUCUCUCUCCGAUCAGCGGCCCAGCUUGGCGACGGCGGCGCGGCCGCGUCACUACCUGGCUGAUCUGCUCCAUACGUCACCUGGCAUGGCUCAUCAGCAUCGAGGUAUCACCAGGAAGCCGCGGGCACCAGCGGGAGCGGCAGUGUCGGGAGCAGUAGCGGCAAUGGCGGCGCCGGGGAUUGGCUCCGGCUCGACCACGUCCCGACGUCCCUCGGGCUGGCGCCGCGGGCUCGCCGGUCGACACCUUCGCGGACCUAGCAGCGGGGCCGCAUCUCCUGACGUUGCAGCCGCGGACGACGAUGGCGGAGGCGCUGCCUCGGCCCGUCGGAGUCUGGUUCGUGCUCCUGGCCGCACCGCACCCGAGCAAGUGCAGCAUAACAUAAUCUGAGGGAAUAAUUGAGAAGAAAUCUACUGCUACUCUACAAGAUCCUACUGGGGCAUUGUGUUUCCAAGAAUCAUAAUCAGUGGACAGAGCACGACGACCAUGACCUCUCUGAUGUUCUCCCAAAUCCUCUCAGUCCGGGUCUUAUGAUGCCAGGUUAGCAUUAUUGUCUUCAGAAUUUAGAUAUACUAGCAUAUCAGAACAGAGGAUAUUGAUGAACUCAUCAAAUGCUUAACUAAUACCACUAAGAUACCUAGGGAACAUUAAUCAAAAUGCUUAUGAUGUUAAAGAGCAUUCAACUGAACCAUUCAUUUUCUUUGGUGUGUAAUUUACCUUGUACUUAUUCAUCUAUUUGAACUUGCUAGUGGUGCUAGGCCACAACAGCGUCCGGACCACAAAUUUCAUCUUGUAGGCAAUAUUUGCUAAUCAGCUAGCAAAUUUUUCAUUUUAGUUUUUCAUUUUUGCAUUCAGUUUUAAGCAUUUUCAGUGUUAUUUUUUUUUUGUUUUCUAUUGAUCAGUUUUCAUGCUUGGUGCUGUUGUGUUAUAGCCUUGCGAUGUCUUUUUUUUGGGGAAGCAUUUGUGAUUACUUUGUAGUGUAGAUGGUGCUGAUCGGUUAGGCAAUAAUUCAGUUGUCAAUAUGCAAAUGUAGCAUCCAAGGUACACAUUCUAUCACAUCAGCAAAUCUUAGCACUCUGAUGACUUUUUUAUGCACAUACAAGCUGUUUUUUGCUAGAUUAUGAGGUAUAUGUAUUGCUGAAUUAAAUCACAAAUAUGCAUGUGUACUAAGAUUAUAAAGAUUAGUGCUUUGAUUAAUCAAUUAUAGAUACACUAAGCGUUCAUUGUGAGUGCUCUUUUUUUCACUUGCAGUGUCAUGCCCAUGUGUCCAUGCCUAUAAUUGAGGGUUAUCAAUUGUUCUAAAAUUAUGCUAUCAAGAUGUUAUAUUGAUCUGUUUUGAUCAGCACCCGAGUCAUUCCUAAAACACACUACUGCAUGUCUAUCCCCCUAGUCUAAUUACCUUUUUCUAACAUUUUUUUUUGCCUAACAUUUCCUAGAUGAUGCCCGCAAGCUAUCAGAUAUUCAUUUCUGUUCGAUGCUAUGUAUUCAUGGGUCAUGAACAAGGAUCGGAACAAUAUGUAACUGGGGUGGUCUAGUGCAGAAUCUAGGCAAUUUAGUGUAUGUCUGGAAAGCAUUUAUGUCAAAUUUAGAAGCAAUUUGAAUAUAAGCUAAUAGGAAUUUAUGGUUAUGCAACUAGGGUAGUUUACUUUUUGUGUACAGAUGUCAAGCUUUUGCUUUUUCAUCAGGCUUUGUUUUUUCUUGUUUUUCUGUUGCAUCCUUUUGGUAUUAUAGUUAGCAACAAUAUGAUCUGUGUUAGGCAAUACCAUGGUCAUUUGGGACAAUAAUGCGCUUCUGGUUUUAGGGAAUAUAGCACUUCUGAAGCUAGCACAAUUUAAUCGAUCAUACAUGUGCUUUUUAUGCUGCCUUCAGAACUUUUUUAACAUGCGGUUUAGCAUAUGCAUUGUGUUAUCAGAUCAAUUUACUACAUUGUAUUUGUAGGUCAUGUGCAGCGAAGCUAAAGUCAAGCAUAAGCAGGGGUGUAUCUAGUGAUUACGUGAUGAAACAUUAUUGUUGUGAAUAUGUUUUAUUUGCUUGUAUAUUUAUUCUAAUUUGCUUUGGAUCAAUCUGUUUUAUUUGCUUGUACAUUUAUUCUAAAUUGCUUCGGAGUGUAUUAUGAUAUGCUUUCAACUUUUAACAAAAGUGCUUUUGGAACUAUACGAGAAAAAUAUCAUCAUAACAUAUUGAAGUGAGA